rnacentral:rRNA from 1 species
AAAAACAUAGUAGCUUAUUCGCUAAGAAUCCUUGCGCCGCAGAUGAUCGGGACUAAGACACAUGCCGAAGGUGAGGAAUUGGUGCUUAGAAAAAAACAUAGUAGCUUAUUCGCUAAGAGUUUUUGCGCCGCAGAUGAUCGGGGCUAAAUAGAGUACCGCAGGUGAGGAAUUGGUGCUUGAAUUUAUAAGGGCAUAUGGCGGAUGGCUCGAGAUAAGAUGGGCGAUGAAGGACGUGGCGUGCCUGCGAUAAGCUUGGGGGAGGUGGCUAGCAACCUUUGAUCCCAAGAUUUCCGAAUGGGGAAACCCCGCGCCGAGAAAUCGGCGUGAUCUUGCAUCUUAAAUGGUGCCGGAAGCGAACCCGCUGAAGUAAAACAUUUCAGUAAGCGGAGGAAAAGAAAAAAAUAUUUAUUCCCUUAGUAGCGGCGAGCGAAAAGGGAGCAGCCCAGAUCGUCAAUGCUGCGCAUUGACGCGCUGAAAACGCUGACUGGACGCUGACAGUCGCAGAAAUAAAAACAUUAGCAGAACGGUCCUGGAAAGGCCGGCCAAAGAGGGUAAUAGCCCCGUAAACGACAAUGAUUUUUUACUUUCUGGAUUUUACUUGAGUACCUCGAAAAAUGUAUAGUUCGGGGGAA